rnacentral:rRNA from 1 species
UACGUAGGGUGCGAGCGUUGUCCGGAAUUACUGGGCGUAAAGAGCUCGUAGGUGGUUUGUCGCGUUGUCCGUGAAAACUCACAACUCAAUUGUGGGCGUGCGGGCGAUACGGGCAGACUUGAGUACUACAGGGGAGACUGGAAUUCCUGGUGUAGCGGUGGAAUGCGCAGAUAUCAGGAGGAACACCGAUGGCGAAGGCAGGUCUCUGGGCCGAUACUGACGCUGAGGAGCGAAAGCGUGGGGAGCGAACAGG